AGGGCACCACCAGGAGUGAAGCCUGCGGCUUAAUUUGACUCAACACGGGAAAACUUACCCGGCCCGGACACUGGAAGGAUUGACAGAUUGAGAGCUCUUUCUUGAUUCAGUGGGUGGUGGUGCAUGGCCGUUCUUAGUUGGUGGAGCGAUUUGUCUGGUUAAUUCCGAUAACGAACGAGACUCUAGCCUACUAAAUAGACCAGAGGCUUCUUAAAACACGUCUCUGGCUGCUUCUUAGAGGGACAGGCGGCGAUUCAGCCGCACGAAACAGAGCAAUAACAGGUCUGUGAUGCCCUUAGAUGUCCGGGGCCGCACGCGCGCUACACUGAAGUGAUCAGCGUGCUUUUUGUACCCUGCUCUGCCAAGAGUGGGUAACCCAAUGAACCUUCCUCGUGAUUGGGAUAGGGGAUUGUAAUUAUUCCCCUUGAACGAGGAAUUCCCAGUAAGCGCGAGUCAUAAGCUCGCGUUGAUUACGUCCCUGCCCUUUGUACACACCGCCCGUCGCUACUACCGAUUGAA
rnacentral:rRNA from 1 species